ensembl:lncRNA
GGAGAAGCAGGCUCAGUUGGGGCUGUGUUGGGGCCCAGGAUGGAGGAGGACCAGUGCAGUUGGGGCUGCACUGGGGGGGCCCGAGCUGGAGCGGGGCCUAGCACAGUUGAGGCCUCCUCUGGGCCCAGACCAGAGGGAGCCCCGGCACAGCCCAGGCUUUGGGGCCUAGGAUGGAGGAGGACCAGGCACAGUUGGGGCUGCUUUGGGGCCCAGGAUGGAGGGGGGCCAGGCACAGUUGGGGCUGCUUUGGGGCCCGGGCAUGUGGGAGGCUUAGCACAGCCAGAGCCUUGUGGCUGCACUCCCUCUGUACAGUUCAACCUUGAUCCAUAAUCUGAAAUGGUAACUGUAGUGAAAGGCAGUAGCUGAUCCAGCGGCUUUCUUGUGUUUUAAUUUUCCUAUGAGUGGGGAAGGACUCAAGCUAGUAAACAAAG